UACGGAGGGUGCAAGCGUUAUCCGGAUUCACUGGGUUUAAAGGGUGCGUAGGCGGGCAGGUAAGUCCGUGGUGAAAUCUCUGAGCUUAACUCAGAAACUGCCAUGGAUACUAUUUGUCUUGAAUAUUGUGGAGGUGAGCGGAAUAUGUCAUGUAGCGGUGAAAUGCUUAGAUAUGACAUAGAAACACCAAAUUGCGAAGGCAGCUCAC
rnacentral:rRNA from 1 species